rnacentral:rRNA from 1 species
UACAGAGGUCUCAAGCGUUGUUCGGAUUCAUUGGGCGUAAAGGGUGCGUAGGCGGCGCGGUAAGUCGGGUGUGAAAUCUCAGAGCUCAACUCUGAAACUGCACUCGAUACUGCUUUGCUAGAGGACUGGAGAGGAGAUUGGAAUUCACGGUGUAGCAGUGAAAUGCGUAGAGAUCGUGAGGAAGACCAGUGGCGAAGGCGGAUCUCUGGACAGUUCCUGACGCUGAGGCGCGAAGGCCAGGGGAGCAAACGGG